UUGUAAGUUUUUAAGAGCAUAUGGUGGAUGCCUUGGCAUUAGGAGCCGAUGAAGGACGUUGUAGCCUGCGUUAAGCCUCGGGGAGUUGGCAAACAAGCUGUGAUCCGAGGGUGUCCGAAUGGGGAAACCCACCUGGAGUCAUGUCCAGGUACUCCCUGCUGAAUGUAUAGGCAGGGUAGAGGGAACGUCGGGAAGUGAAACAUCUUAGUACCGGCAGGAAGAGAUAUUCCGUGAGUAUUGGCGAGAGAAAGCGGAACAGGCCAAACCAUGAGCGUGUGAUACUCGGCAGAGGUUGCGUUUGUGGGGUUGUGGGACCAUGCGGUUGAUACUGCCGUGUCAACACACAGUGAAAAGUGCGCGUGUAGGUGAAGCCCUUGGGAAGGGGUGGCGUAGAGGGUGAUACCCCCGUAACCGAAACAUGUGUGCCUGUGGUGUGGGAUCCCAAGUAGCACGGGGCCCGAGAAAUCUCGUGUGAAUCUGGCAAGACCACUUGCUAAGCCUAAAUACUACCUAAUGACCGAUAGCGGAUUAGUACCGUGAGGGAAUGGUGAAAAGUAGCCCGGGAGGGCAGUGAAAUAGUACCUGAAACCAUAUGCUUACAAUCCGUCGGAGCCUCCUUGGUUGGGGUGACGGCGUGCCUUUUGAAGAAUGAGCCUGCGAGUUAGUGCUCAGUGGCGAGGUUAACCCGUGUGGGGUAGCCGUAGCGAAAGCGAGUCUGAAUAGGGCGAAUGAGUCGCUGGGUCUAGACCCGAAGCGAAGUGAUCUACCCAUGGGCAGGUUGAAGCGCGGGUAAGACCGCGUGGAGGACCGAACCCACCUAGGUUGAAAACUGGGGGGAUGACCUGUGGGUAGGGGUGAAAGGCCAAUCAAACUUCGUGAUAGCUGGUUCUCCCCGAAAUGCAUUUAGGUGCAGCCUUACAUGUUUCUUACCGGAGGUAGAGCUACUGGAUAGCCGAUGGGCCUUACCAGGUUACUGACGUUAGCCAAACUCCGAAUGCCGGUAAGUGAGAGUGUAGGAGUGAGACUGCGGGGGAUAAGCUCCGUAGUCGAGAGGGAAACAGCCCAGACCACCAGCUAAGGCCCCUAAGCGUGUGCUAAGUGGGAAAGGAUGUGGAGUUGCAUAGACAACCAGGAGGUUGGCUUAGAAGCAGCCACCCUUGAAAGAGUGCGUAAUAGCUCACUGGUCAAGUGAUUCUGCGCCGACAAUGUAGCGGGGCUCAAGUACACCGCCGAAGCUGUGGCAUUCACACAAGAAACAAGCCUUUGUGGUUCAGUUGUGUGGAUGGGUAGGGGAGCGUCGUGUGGGCGAUGAAGCUGCAGAGGAAUCUAGUGGUGGAGACUACACGAGUGAGAAUGCAGGCAUGAGUAGCGAAAGACGGGUGAGAAACCCGUCCGCCGGAUGAUCAAGGGUUCCAGGGUCAAGUUAAUCUGCCCUGGGUUAGUCGGGACCUAAGGCGAGGCCGACAGGCGUAGUCGAUGGAUAACCAGUUGAUAUUCUGGUACCGGUGUAACACCGCCCAACACAAAACAUUGUAAUCUCCCUCUUUAUAUGCGCGUGCUUGCUUGUCCCUUCGGGGUUAGUGAGUGUUGUGUGUGUGACGCGGGAGUGCGUGGUGUGGCGUGAGCGUAUUAACAGGGGUGACGCAGGAAGGUAGCCAAACCGUCGCGAUGGUUGUCGACGGCCAAGGAUGUAGCCCAGGUUCUAGGUAAAUCCGGGAUCUGUUAUAGGGGUGAGAUCUGAUGGGGUUAAGUUGGUGAUCCUCUGCUGCCUAGAAAAACCUCGACGUGAGGUGUGAGCCGCCCGUACCCUAAACCGACUCAGGUGAUCAGGUAGAGAAUACUAAGGCGAUCGAGAUAAUUAUGGUUAAGGAACUCGGCAAAAUGCCCCCGUAACUUCGGGAGAAGGGGGGCCCUGAGCGUGAACACCUGUGCGGUGGUAAGCGUGUAAGGGUCGCAGAGACCAGGGAGAAGCGACUGUUUACUAAAAACACAGGUCCGUGCGAAGACGCAAGUCGAUGUAUACGGACUGACGCCUGCCCGGUGCUGGAAGGUUAAGAGGACUGGUCAACCACCUUGUGUGGUGAAGCUGAGAAUUUAAGCCCCAGUAAACGGCGGUGGUAACUAUAACCAUCCUAAGGUAGCGAAAUUCCUUGUCGGGUAAGUUCCGACCUGCACGAAUGGCGUAACGACUUCUCCGCUGUCUCAACCAUAAACUCGGCGAAAUUGCAGUACGAGUAAAGAUGCUCGUUACGCGCAGCAGGACGGAAAGACCCCGGGACCUUUACUAUAGCUUGGUAUUGGUGUUCGGUAGUGUAUGUGUAGGAUAGGUGGGAGACUGUGAAGCAGGCACGCUAGUGUGUGUGGAGUCAUCGUUGAAAUACCACUCUUAUGCUUUCGGAUACCUCAACCUCGGACCCUGAUCGGGUUCAGGGACAGUGCCUGGUGGGUAGUUUAACUGGGGCGGUUGCCUCCUAAAAUGUAACGGAGGCGCUCAAAGGUUCCCUCAGCCUGGUUGGCAAUCAGGUGUUGAGUGUAAGUGCACAAGGGAGCUUGACUGUGAGACUGACAGGUCGAACAGGGACGAAAGUCGGAACUAGUGAUCCGGCCAUGGCUUGUGGAAGCGUGGUCGCUCAACGGAUAAAAGGUACCCCGGGGAUAACAGGCUGAUCUUGCCCAAGAGUCCAUAUCGACGGCAUGGUUUGGCACCUCGAUGUCGGCUCGUCGCAUCCUGGGGCUGGAGUAGGUCCCAAGGGUUGGGCUGUUCGCCCAUUAAAGCGGUACGCGAGCUGGGUUUAGAACGUCGUGAGACAGUUCGGUCCCUAUCCGCUGCGCGCGUAGGAAACUUGAAUAGACCUGUCCCUAGUACGAGAGGACCGGGACGGACGAACCUCUGGUGUGCCAGUUGUACCGCCAGGUGCAUGGCUGGUUGGCUACGUUCGGAAGGGAUAACCGCUGAAAGCAUCUAAGCGGGAAGCCUGCUAUGAGAUAAGGUUUCCAACCCCUACUUGUGGGGGUGUAGGCACCCAAGAGAUUAUUGGGUUGAUAGGCCAGAGGUGGACGCACAGACUAACGAUGUGUGGAGCUGACUGGUACUAAUAUGCCGACAAUUUACAAUCAACAAUGU
rnacentral:rRNA from 1 species